AGCGGACGCUGGCGGUAGGCCUAACACAUGCAAGUCGAACGGCAGCACAGUAAGAGCUUGCUCUUACGGGUGGCGAGUGGCGGACGGGUGAGGAAUAUAUCGGAAUCUACUUUUUCGUGGGGGGCAACGUAGGGAAACUUACGCUAAUACCUCCUACGACCUACGCGUGAAAGCAGGUGAUCUUCGGACCUUGCGCGAUUGAAUGAGCCGAUGUCGGAUUAGCUAGUUGGCGGGGUAAAGGCCCACCAAGGCGACGAUCCGUAGCUGGUCUGAGAGGAUGAUCAGCCACACUGGAACUGAGACACGGUCCAGACUCCUACGGGAGGCAGCAGUGGGGAAUAUUGGACAAUGGGCGCAAGCCUGAUCCAGCCAUACCGCGUGGGUGAGGAAGGCCUUCGGGUUGUAAAGCCCUUUUGUUGGGAAAGAAAAGCAGCAGGUUAAUACCCCGCUGUUCUGACGGUACCCAAAGAAUAAGCACCGGCUAACUUCGUG
rnacentral:rRNA from 1 species